AAGAAGAAGGAAAAGAGGAGGAAGAAGAAGAAGAAGAAGAAGAAGAAGAAGCAGCA
rnacentral:sRNA from 1 species